rnacentral:tRNA from 1 species
UAAGAUGUAGUUUAAUAAAAAUCCUUUAUUUACAUUAAAGGGAUCUGAUACCAGCAUCUUAU